AUGUCGCACCGCAAGUUCGAGCACCCGAGGCACGGUUCCCUCGGCUUCCUCCCCAGGAAGCGCUGCUCUCGCCACCGCGGAAAGGUGAAGUCCUUCCCCAAGGAUGACCAACAGAAGCCUUGCCACCUCACUGCCUUUCUGGGCUACAAGGCUGGAAUGACCCACAUUGUUCGUGAGGUCGAGAAGCCCGGAUCCAAGCUCCACAAGAAGGAAACCUGUGAGGCUGUUACCAUCAUUGAGACCCCUCCUCUGGUCAUUGUUGGUCUUGUGGCCUAUGUGAAGACCCCACGUGGCCUUCGCACUCUCAACUCUGUCUGGGCUCAGCACCUUAGCGAAGAUGUGAGGAGAAGGUUCUAUAAGAACUGGUGCAAGAGCAAGAAGAAGGCGUUCACAAAGUAUGCCCUCAAGUAUGACAGUGAUGCAGGCAAGAAGGAAAUCCAGUUGCAGCUUGAGAAAAUGAAGAAGUACGCCACUAUAGUCCGUGUUAUUGCCCAUACUCAGAUUAGGAAGAUGAAGGGCUUGAAACAGAAGAAGGCUCACCUCAUGGAGAUCCAGGUUAAUGGUGGCACCAUCGCAGACAAGGUUGACUAUGGCUACAAGUUCUUUGAGAAGGAAGUCCCAGUUGAAGCGGUCUUCCAGAAAGAUGAAAUGGUUGACAUCAUUGGUGUCACCAAGGGUAAGGGGUACGAAGGUGUCGUCACUCGCUGGGGUGUGACCCGCCUUCCCCGCAAGACCCACAGGGGUCUCCGAAAGGUUGCCUGUAUCGGUGCCUGGCAUCCUGCUAGGGUUUCCUACACUGUUGCUCGUGCUGGUCAGAAUGGUUACCACCACCGCACAGAGAUGAACAAAAAGAUUUACAAGAUGGGCAAGUCUGGACAGGAGUCUCACGAGGCCUGCACUGAGUUUGACAGGACUGAGAAGGACAUCACCCCGAUGGGUGGCUUCCCUCACUAUGGUGUGGUGAAGGGUGACUACCUCAUGAUCAAGGGCUGCUGUGUGGGCCCCAAGAAGAGAGUGGUGACCCUCCGCCAGUCCCUGUUGAAGCAGACCUCGCGGUUGGCCCUUGAGGAGAUCAAGCUCAAGUUCAUCGACACCUCAUCCAAGUUCGGGCAUGGCCGGUUCCAGACCACUGACGAGAAGCAGAAGUUCUACGGCAGGCUCAAGGCUUAG
rnacentral:rRNA from 1 species